CCUCCCCGCCCGGCGGCCGCCAACACCACCGGCGCCGCCUCGCCGCAGGAAUGGUUCCGCCCGCGCCGCCCGGCCGACUCCGACCCCUCCACCUCCGGCGGGCGCGUCGCGGCGCGCGACCCGGGCGUGCGCGUCAGGGCCAAGGACGGCGCCGAGGAAAAGAAGGGGGAACGUAAGAGGAGAUGGUGGGAGCGCUGGUCCAGGGACAAGGAGAGCUACCUGGUCGACGACGUGGAGCCGCUCCCGAUGCCGUUGACCAUCCCGGGGACCGAGCCGAUGUCGCGGGAGGAGCUCGACCGCCGCCUCAGCUGCGACGUGAAGAUCGAUGAAUGCAAGAUGGUUUCGUACGAGUGGACGGGCAAGUGCCGGAGUUGCCAGGGGUCGGGACUGGUGACCUACUUCAGGAAGAAAGGGAAGGAGACCAUCUGCACGUGUGUGCCAUGCGCUGGCAUUGGCUAUGUUCGGAAAAUUACAUACCGAGAGGGAGCUGAAAAUCUGGAUGAGUUAGACAAUGGGAGACCACCCUAA
rnacentral:rRNA from 1 species